CCUACGGGUGGCAGCAGUGAGGAAUAUUCGUCAAUGGACGCAAGUCUGACCCAGCCACGUAGCGUGAAGGAUGACUGCCCUAUGGUUGGUAAACUUCUUUUAUAGGGGAAUACAAUGUCUAACGUGUGGGAUAUUGUAUGUACCAUAUCUAUAAGGAUAGGCUAACUCGGUGCCGGCAGCGGCGGUAAUACGGAGGAUCCGAGGGUUACCCGGAUUUAUUGGGUUUAAAGGGAGCGUAGCUGGUUUGUUAAGUCAGUUGUGAAAGUUUCCGGCUCAACCGAACAAUGGCAGUGGAAACUGGGAGUCUUGAGUGCAGUAGAGGAGAGCGGAAUUCGAGGUGUAGCGGUGAAAUGCUUAGAUAUAAGGAAGAACUCCGAUUGCGAAGGCAGCUCACUGGUCUGUAACUGACACUGAGGCUCGAAAGUGUGGGUAGCAAACAGGAUUAGAUACCCGUGUAGUC
rnacentral:rRNA from 1 species